CGAAUUAAGACAUUUAGAGGCUCCGGGGCCAAAUCGUUCAACACGGCUCUCGUUGAAAGGCUGAUCAUUUUUUUUGUAAAAUAUUUACUAUAAUUAACAUGUUUUGACGGAAGGAAAAUAAUAAAUAGUAUAGACACCGUAUAGCAUGGAUCUCAAUUCAAAAGUCACAAGUAUUGUUUAAAUAAAUAUUUAUAUUAUUUUUAAAAAAAUUACCAGUGGUUUUUACUGUAUACAUAUACGUACUCUGGAUACGGAAAAAAUCGAGGCCCGGGGAGUCUGGUGGCCCUGGGGAUCUGG